rnacentral:rRNA from 1 species
CGAAGGUGGCAAGCGUUGUUCGGAUUUACUGGGCGUACAGGGAGCGUAGGCGGUUCGGUAAGCCCUUUGUGAAAUCUCCAGGCUUAACCUGGAACAGUCGGAGGGGACUGCUGGGCUAGAGGACGGGAGAGGAGCGCGGAAUUCCCGGUGUAGCGGUGAAAUGCGUAGAGAUCGGGAGGAAGGCCGGUGGCGAAGGCGGCGCUCUGGAACGUUUCUGACGCUGAGGCUCGAAAGCGUGGGGAGCAAACAGGAUUAGAUACCCUGGUAGUCCACGCCUUAAACUAUGAAUACUAAGUGUCGGCGGGUUACCGCCGGUGCCGCAGCUAACGCAUUAAGUAUUCCGCCUGGGAAGUACGGCCGCAAGGUUG